rnacentral:misc_RNA from 1 species
UUUUUUGCAUGCCUUGCGGCCAUACUGAGACUCCCAGCAUUCUUUCUGUUGGAGAAAUGGCUUCAGUCAUCUGAAGGGGAAGUUUGGUCACAAAAACAUGUAGCAGUGACUGAAGUACUGGAUUAUCUAGGAUCUGUCAUAAUAGCUUGUGGUGGAUUAUGGUUACUAAAAACCAAUGGAUUUAGCUGGAUUCAGACUCCAAUGCUGAUCUUACAAUUAUGUUAUCUCUGGGAUAGAUUCCAAAAUGGCCGAAAAACCUUGGUUUUAAGGAGAGACGCCAGGAAAAAAAUAGAUUCAAUACCAACAGCAACUCUGGAAAAACUUAGUGCCUAUGAUGAUGUUUGCCCAAUCUGUCAUCAAAAUAUGUCGUCUGCAAAAAUCACUCCGUGUGGCCAUCUUUAUCACAGAGAGUGUCUACAGAAGUGGAUGAAUUUAAAAGACUCGUGUCCCCUUUGUUCCUACCAACUUAAAGUUCAAACGUCUCCUUCCUAAAAAUAUUUGCUUUAUCAAGUGGCAUUGCAUGUAAUUUCUUCUAUAAGCAAAUUAUUUAAUAUUUAAUGUGGCCUUUUAUAUAAAAAAAAUAAAAGGUUUGCUCAUUUAUACCCUAUACUUAACAGUGUCACUAAAAUAAAAUUAAAUGCGUU